rnacentral:rRNA from 1 species
UACGGAGGGUGCAAGCGUUAUCCGGAUUCACUGGGUUUAAAGGGCGCGUAGGCGGACAGGUAAGUCAGUGGUGAAAUCUCUGGGCUUAACUCAGAAACUGCCGUUGAUACUAUUUGUCUUGAAUAUCUUGGAGGUAAGCGGAAUAUGUCAUGUAGCGGUGAAAUGCUUAGAUAUGACAUAGAACACCGAUAGCGAAGGCAGCUUACUACAGGAAGAUUGACGCUGAGGCACGAAAGCGUGGGGAGCAAACAGG